rfam:Neotoma lepida isolate 417 scaffold_173, whole genome shotgun sequence.
UGGCUCAGUGGUUAAGAGCACUGGCUGUUCUUCCAGAGGUCCUGAGUUCAAUUCUCAG